rnacentral:misc_RNA from 1 species
AAGAAGAAGAAGAAGAAGAAGGGUUUUGCGUAAACUCAACAAGUUAAAAUUAACAUGACAGGGAGGGAAAUAAUAAACAAUGCAUGCAUAUGCUAAAAAUGAUUGAAACUUCUCAUCUGCUAGAAAUGAUUGAAACGUCUCAUCUUAUCCUUCCUUCUACCCUUCUGUUUUCUUUGUAUUGAUAUAUAGCAAAACUUUCUUAUACUCAAAGUGGUUUCUGUCACCAGACAUGUCCAUGGAAGAAGAAGCACUAAGUUCUAAGUUGCUGUCACAA